rnacentral:lncRNA from 1 species
UCUCACAUUUGCCCUUUCUAGACACUUUGUGGAUUUUUCUUAAAACUGGAUGCCAGCGCCAGGGUGAAGGUGUAUGCCGGUAAUCCCGGGACUCUGGAGGCUUAGAUUGUAGAGUAGCCAUAGACUCAAUGCCAUCCUGGGUUAUGUAAGGUGCUGUAAUCUCACUUGGUUGCAGUGUGAGAUCUCUCUCUCUCUAAAAACUGAGAGUGAACAGCAGGACUAGUGUCAGUGUGUCCAGCAUGUACAUAGGUUCUUCCUGGCUACUCGCCCCGCAUAAAAUAAAAUCAGGUGGAGCUUGCCUAGUAUUGGGGUUGGAGACAAGAGGAUCAGGCAGUCAAGGUAUGUUCCAACACAAAGAUUGAAGCCAGUGUGGGAGGAAUGACACUAUUUUAAAUAAACAAUCCCUACUCUCAAAUCUUAAUGCCCAUAUCUCAGAAAACAAUGACAUGGCAUCCCAUCACAACCGCAUAUUCCUUGUGAAUCAGAAUACCUUUCCCAUGGAGAUAUGAAAACCGAGCAUCCAGAUGUGCAGUGAAUAUUUUGUGUGACUCACAUCAGGAAUUGGCCUGAGCAUUGAGUUCUUCCCCUGUGCACUGCACUGAGGAGCUGUUCACUUGAGACUAGGCAGACGGCCCUGUACAAGGAGAAAAGAAAAUCACCUUCAUCAAUUCUACUAACAUCCCCCCUAAAAUUAUUGAGUUAUGUUUAUUCUGUUAGAUAAAACAAUCUGUUCAUCUUUUUGUACAUACCUAUCCAAGUUCCCUCUAGCACCCCUCCUCCUGCUCUUCUCUUAUUCUACAUAUCCCUUCAGGCAUUUGCUCCUCAAACUGGGAAAGGCCUCCCAUGGGGAGUCUAAGAACUCUGUGCCAUCACCAGGUUGAGGCAUGACCAAGGCCGUCACCCUUGUGUCUAGGCUGAACAAGGUAUGUCUCCAUAGGGAAUGGGCCCCAGACAUCCAGGUCACACACUAGGUAUAGAUCCUUUCCUCACUGACAGCGGUCCCCUACACACUGGCGAAGCCACCCCUCCUUCAACUGCCUUCAGUGGGUGUGGGGCUAGUUUGGUCCUAUGCAGGCUUCCCUGCUGUGUCUCUGGGGACAGUGAGAUCCUGCUAGCUCUGGUCUGCUGUUUCUGUGGUUUCUCCCACCCUGAUCUUCACCCCUUUGCUCAUAUUAUCA